GUAAUAAUUUUUCUGUAGCUAAUUAUGUCUGCCAGCAUGGAAGAAGAUACCAACCUGUACCCUGAGUAUGAGCUUUUGGACAGCGCCCCCGUUUUGGAAGAUGAAAGAGAUGAAUUGGAGGAUCCAAGUUCGAAGUUGAAUCUCCCCCUCAUGAGGCUGAGGAGGAUGUCUGCCCCGGAGCUUGCGGUUUGGUGGAACAACAACCAAAUACCAAUGCUGACAAAACCACGAAGAAAACA